ACGAAAAGAGCUUGCUCUUAGGCGUCGAGCGGCGGACGGGUGAGUAACGCGUGGGAAUAUGCCCUUCUCUAAGGAAUAGCCUCUGGAAACGGAGAGUAAUACCUUAUACGCCCUUUGGGGGGAAAGAUUUAUCGGAGAAGGAUUAGCCCGCGUUAGAUUAGGUAGUUGGUGGGGUAAUGGCCUACCAAGCCUACGAUCUAUAGCUGGUUUGAGAGGAUGAUC
rnacentral:rRNA from 1 species